rnacentral:rRNA from 1 species
GACGAACGCUGGCGGCGUGCUUAACACAUGCAAGUCGAGCGGUAAGGCCCUUUCGGGGGUACACGAGCGGCGAACGGGUGAGUAACACGUGGGUGACCUGCCCUCAGCUCUGGGAUAAGCCUGGGAAACCGGGUCUAAUACUGGAUAUGACUCCAUGACGCAUGUUGUGGGGUGGAAAGCCUUGUGCGGCUGAGGAUGGGCCCGCGGCCUAUCAGCUUGUUGGUGGGGUGAGGCCUACCAAGGCGACGACGGGUAGCCGGCCUGAGAGGGCGACCGGCCACACUGGGACUGAGACACGGCCCAGACUCCUACGGGAGGCAGCAGUGGGGAAUCUUGCGCAAUGGGCGAAA